rnacentral:tRNA from 1 species
UAUUAGAAAGCGAAUAAUUGCAUUUAGUUUCGACCUAACCUUUAGGCCUUAGGCCUUCUAAUUU